AUGGCGGCGUACCUGAGCAUGGGCGAGGCGCACCGCCGCAUCGCCGACUACCUCUCCCGCUUGGACGACGCUAUCUCUCAGUCCGACGGCGCCGACCUCGCGUCUCUCCUCGCCAUCUCCUCGGCGCCCGCCUCCACCCCGCUCUCCGACGCGCUCGCCGCUUUUCCGGAUUUUCCCCGCCUCGCCUCCGACCGCUUCCCCCACCUCUCCGACUUCCUCCCCCCGCUCCUCCGCGCCAUCCACUCCCACUCCCUCCGCCGCUUCGGGGACGCUUACUCCUCCUUCGAGAAGGCUGCUAGCGCGUUCCUGCAGGAGUUCCGGAACUGGGAGACUCCUUGGGCGAUGGAGGCGAUGCACAUGGUGGCGCUUGAGAUCAGGCUGCUAGCUGAGAAGGCAGACAGGGAGCUUGUGAUGAGCGGGAAGAACCCAGACAAGCUGCAGGCUGCUGGGUCCUUCCUGAUGAAGGUUUUUGGGGCACUUGCGGUUAAAGGACCUAAGCGCGUUGGGGCACUGUAUGUUACCUGCCAGCUGUUUAAAAUUUAUUUCAGGCUUGGUACUGUUAACCUUUGCCGUAGUGUCAUAAGGAGUAUCGAAACAGCUAGGAAUUUUGAUUUUGAAGAUUUUCCAGUGAAAGAUAAGGUCACUUAUAUGUAUUAUACAGGUCGCUUGGAGGUGUUUAAUGAGAAUUUUCUUGUUGCUGAUCAGAAACUAACUUAUGCUUUGAUGCAUUGUAAUCCUCAAAGCGAAUCAAAUUUGAGGAAAAUUUUGAAGUUCCUAAUCCCUGUAAAGCUGUCAAUUGGUGUAUUGCCAAGGAGGACCCUCCUGGAGAAGUACAAUCUGCUUGAGUAUGCAGAUAUUGUGACCUCACUUAGGAGAGGGGAUCUCAGGCUCCUUAAGCAAGCCCUUGAUAGACAUGAAGACCAGUUACUAAAAUGUGGUGUCUACCUUGUGUUGGAGAAACUUGAACUCCAGGUCUACCGAAGAUUAGUGAAGAAAAUCCAUAUCAUACAGAGGGAGAAGGAACCAUCGAAGGCGCAUCAAAUCAAGCUAGAUGUCUUGGUAAAGACUCUCCAAUGGCUUGGAAUCACCAUGGAUGUGGAUGAGGUGGAAUGCAUCAUGGCGUGCCUGAUAUACAAGAAUCUCAUAAAAGGAUACUUUGCCCACAAAAGCAAAGUUCUUGUCCUUAGCAAACAAGACCCCUUCCCAAAGUUGAACGGAAAGCCCGUUUAG
rnacentral:rRNA from 1 species